rnacentral:rRNA from 1 species
CGUGUGUGAGAAGGCCUUUUGGUUGUAAAGCACUUUCAGCAGUGAAGAAGACCCUUCGGUUAAUACCCGUUAGCGAUGACAUUAUCUGCACAAUAAGCACCGGCU